rnacentral:rRNA from 1 species
UACGAAGGGUGCAAGCGUUACUCGGAAUUACUGGGCGUAAAGCGAGUGUAGGUGGUUGUCCAAGUUGGAUGUGAAAGCCUUGAGCUCAACUCAAGAAAUGCAUUCAGGACUGGGCGGCUAGAGGACCGGAGAGGAUAGUGGAAUUCCCAGUGUAGUGGUGAAAUACGUAGAGAUUGGGAAGAACACCAGUGGCGAAGGCGGCUAUCUGGACGGUUUCUGACACUAAGACUCGAAAGCGUGGGGAGCAAACAGG